UACAGAGGCCUCGAGCGUUAGGCGGAAUCACUGGGCUUAAAGCGUGUGUAGGUGGAUGCCUAAGUACCUUGUGAAAUCCCACAGCUUAACUGUGGAAUUGCUUGGUAUACUGGGUGUCUUGAGCCACUCAGGGGCGAGCGGAACAAACGGUGGAGCGGUGAAAUGCGUAGAUAUCGUUUGGAACGCCAAUGGUGAAAACAGCUCGCUGGGGGUGUGCUGACACUGAGACACGAAAGCCAGGGGAGCAAACGGG
rnacentral:rRNA from 1 species